GCCCAAGUGGUGAAAUUGGUAGACGCAAUGGACUCAAAAUCCAUCGGAGCGAUCCAUGCCGGUUCGAGUCCGGCCUUGGGCACCA
rnacentral:tRNA from 1 species